UACAGAGGUCUCAAGCGUUGUUCGGAUUCAUUGGGCGUAAAGGGUGCGUAGGUGGUGCGCUAAGUCAGGUGUGAAAUUUCGGAGCUUAACUCCGAAACUGCAUUUGAUACUGGCGUGCUUGAGGACUGGAGAGGAGACUGGAAUUCAUGGUGUAGCAGUGAAAUGCGUAGAGAUCAUGAGGAAGACCGGUGGCGAAGGCGGGUCUCUGGACAGUACCUGACACUGAGGCACGAAGGCCAGGGGAGCAAACGGG
rnacentral:rRNA from 1 species